AAAGUACAAAAAUGUACAAUUAUGCACCUCUAAGGUACAAUUAUGCACCUUCCAUUGUAAAUUGUGGACUUUUCUAGGUGUAAGGUACAUAUUUGUCCCUUACAUAUUUGUACCUUAAUGUUUAAAUGUAAAACGGCAGGAAUUUGUGGAUGGUCAUCACAGCAGCAAUGUCAUCUCUCAUUAUAGAAAUACAAGUUAACCUAUACUAUCAAACUCAAUAACUCAAUAAUUGUCAAACUAAAUUAUUAACUGUAAAGUUUUGGGAUGUAGGCAAAAUAAAUCAGAAUGUUUUUUUGGUGAAGUGUCCCUUUGAAUCAUUUUUAAUCAUGUUAAUGAGGAGUAUGUAAUAAUUUAUAUUCACAAACCGAAUUGAAGAAUUUAAUUUUCAAACCCUUUACCCUAUUUAUAUUAGAAUGAAACAGAUAAAUAAUUGUUAACGCUUUAAGUUGUGUUCUAUUGAAAGGAUCUAGCUACAGGCUAACGACAGCUCGACUCGGCGGAAGCAUAAAAUAUUGCAGCGCGGAAGGAUACAUGAGUGAAUCAACAGUUAUCCAACUGUCAGUCUCCGUCAGUGUCAAGUCGGGAGGAUGGCGCUUGGACAUUUAUCAACGGAGGAUUUAAUCACGGAGUUACUUCGUUUUGAGGACACUGAAGAGGAGCAAGUAAAUUCAAAAGUAAGAUAGGCCUGACGUUACGUUAUAUUGUGUGUGUGUGUGUGUGUGUGUGUGUGUGUGUGUGUGUGUGUGUGUGUGUGUGUGUGUGUGUGUGUGUGUGUGUGUGAGAGAGAGAGACAUUUCCAGCGUUAACGUUACAGUCUGGAGCAUGAUACAGAAGCGUGACUUAGCUAGGUAUCAGCAUAGCUAAUGUGCUUUUUAAAUUGUGUAACAUUACAUUAUGCUGUUACCACAGUGGUGGUUAACAAGUGCUGUUUUUCUUUUCUCUAUUGUACUGUAGAUAAUGAAGUUGACGGAGAAGCAGUGGACUAUGGAUUGACUGAGAGGAUGGUUUCAUACCUCUUUGAAGGAUUGUUUAAGAAGCAAGCCAAAUUCAACCGAUUUGUUCAGCAGUGGAAAGAAACCGUGACAGUAACCAUCGAGCCUGUCCCGGUACAUUCAGAGAAGGCUACGGCGGAAUCAAGCUAUUUCAGGAAAUGGGCCGGCUUCAUGAUGAAAUGAAUAUCUGCCGAAGAUUCGAAGAUGGCUUUAAGGUCCUAGUACCCACAGUGCUUAGAUUGACUCAAAGGAAAUCUCCCCUUGCAGAUCUGGCUUUGGAGGAAAGAGAGGCUGCCCUCACCGAAGAUGUUCCUGGGAUUGAUUUCAGAGCUGCAAUCCUGC